AUACGUAGGUGGCGAGCGUUGUCCGGAAUUACUGGGCGUAAAGGGCGUGUAGGCGGGGGAGCAAGUCAGAUGUGAAAUUCCACGGCUUAACUGUGGCGCUGCAUCUGAAACUGUUUCUCUUGAGUGCUGGAGAGGAAAGUGGAAUUCCCAGUGUAGCGGUGAAAUGCGUAGAGAUUGGGAGGAACACCAGUGGCGAAGGCGGCUUUCUGGACAGUAACUGUCGCUGAGGCGCGAAAGCGUGGGGAGCAAACAGGAUUAGAUACCCUGGUAGUCCACGCCGUAAACGAUGGAUACUAGGUGUAGGAGGUAUCGACCCCUUCUGUGCCGGAGUUAACACAAUAAGUAUCCCGCCUGGGGAGUACGGCCGCAAGGCUGAA
rnacentral:rRNA from 1 species